rnacentral:rRNA from 1 species
UACAGAGGGGGCAAGCGUUGUUCGGAAUUACUGGGCGUAAAGGGCGCGUAGGCGGCCUGCUAAGUCGAACGUGAAAUCCCCGGGCUCAACCCGGGAACUGCGUCCGAGACUGAAAGGCUUGAAUCCGGGAGAGGGAUGUGGAAUUCCAGGUGUAGCGGUGAAAUGCGUAGAUAUCUGGAGGAACAUCGGUGGCGAAGGCGGCAUCCUGGACCGGUAUUGACGCUGAGGCGCGAAAGCGUGGGGAGCGAACAGG